AUCAACUUAACUGAUCUAAUUGAAUUUCAGAUUAAAAAAUAGAGCUUGUCUAAAGUAGUUAUGGUUAUGAUUGAGGUUUGGGAGUUUGGAGGGGUGGAAGGUCUAAUUCUUAUCUAUCUAUCUGAUUUAUCUGAUUGACUGCAUCAGUUCUUUCCCGACUUCAAUCUAUGAGCUCUGAAGCUCUUGUCUGGUCUGUUUGAAGGCCUGAAAUAGCUGCGCAGUUCAGUUGAUGUAUGCAAAACACCCAUCAGCCAAAUUGUUAAUUGACAGAAUUUGAGGAUCUCUAAGAUUUUCCUAUGUUUUUGUAUCUAAGUGACUGAUGGGUACAACAAUCUUUGAAAAUGGUCCAGUAUUUAGUGAGAACGCUGCAACCUGCAGUAGCAAACCGGGCUGCAAUGUGUAUCCUAUGGGGCAAAUGUGCAUCGUCAAUUUUGUCAGCUAAAAGUGCAGUUUUCUCCACUGACAGAUUCAGAUUGUUAUUCUAAGUGUCUGAUUAUUGAAAAGAUAGACCUUAAAAAAAAAAUCCUCUUUGUUACCAGAAACUGCUCCGGGAUAGCUGUUGCCAAACCUACCAGACUCCAUUUAAAUAAACAGUUUUAGCGUGUAUGGAGAAAACAUAAUCUCAUAAUUAAAUCAGUAAAAUGAUGUGUUCAUUUAACCAACCCCGAGUAGUGAUGUUGGAAAAGUGUAAAGACUAACCAAGACGACUUUUCAUAGUUCAUAGUUUAGUCCGCUUUGAAUGAAGUGUGUUUUAAAUGACAACAUCACUGUUUAUUGACAUGGAGUCUGGUGGGUUUAAAUUGUUGUUCCCAUCAAUCACGUAGACACAAAACAUGCAAAAAUUGGGUCUAGGUUGAAGAGAAAAGACAGUUACCCUUUAAACUAGAGUCCACAAAGAUCCCCUUGCAACUCUGAGAACACACACAUGCUUCCUCAUCUAACUGCUAUAUUCGUGUACUGUGUGAAAUAACCAACACACACACACACACACACACAAACACACACACUCUUGUUAUCUCACCCUGAUGGCCUUUGAGCAUGUCAUGUUAACCUGGGCGAGGGGGAUGGCUGGGACACAAAGAGAAGACGUGUCCUGGAGAAGAGACACAGUAAUUGGAGAUCUUGUGUAUGUGUGUUGAUACAGUAGAACUACACACACGUGUGUGGAUCACAUAACCUCAUCACGAUGCCGACGUGUUGGUUUCAGAGUCUGUACAUGUGUGUUUGUGUGUAGAACAGAUUCCUGCAGCGUUGAUGAAGUACAUUGUAUUGAUGUAGCAAUAAUUAUAAUAAUAAUAAUAAUAAUGAUUAGUUAGAAGAAAGUUAAUGAGGCUGUUUAACUCAAUGUGUACUGACUGAAGUAUUGAAAACAAUAUAACUAACUUUAUAGCUCAGUGAUGCUUAUACAUGUGUGUGAAAACAACAAUGGUGUCCGGCAGGUGCUACUGACCAUGGCUCGUAGUUGUGCUUUUCCAGACCAGUGAUGGCGUUCCUCUCGGCCUUUGAGUGUAACUGUGUGUUUCUAAACUAACACAGGAAGACGUCCGAUACGUGUUCUUUUUACUCCGCUUUUGUACUCUUGUAUUCAUCACUCUACGUAAUGUUGCGUUUGGACCAAACUUGACAAAAGUGAUGCUGAGAUAAGACAACACACAGGACUAAAGCUAAGAUUAGAUUCAAAUCUAUUCUCUGGCCAAGCAAAUCCCACAGCCAACGUUGGUUGAUUUUCAGCUUUUGUUAUAUUUGUACAUGUCUAAAAAUCAUCAUUCGGCUUCAGCAAGGCUAAUUUUUCUUAGUCCCCAAGAAAUUGUGGGUGAUUUGUAGAGGAAAGGUUCCUAAAGACUGACGUCUAGGGCUGUCCGCGAGUAAAGACGUUCUUAGUCCAUUAACACUCCUAUGGUUUUAUCAACAAUUUAUUUAAUUUAUUGAACAGAGUUUUUCCACAAAGAAUCAUGCAGAACCACCACUUUAAAUCUUGUGUUUACCAGAGAUGUGCUCAUAGCUUUCUUGGAAAUAAGUCUUUCAGCACGAAAAAGCAACAAAAAAACAUUGUUAUCAAAUAAAGUAAUAAAAUUAGUCACCUAAUCAACUAAAAGAGGGCAGCCGUAUUGAUGUCAUUUCAAAAAGUACAAGUAGGACAGGUGUGUUUGGAAAGGUUCAAUGCCAUUUAUUAGUAUUCAUAAUCUAGAGGAUUUGAACAAAUUUUGAACAAAGCAGGUGUGAGACUGCAACAUUUGGAAACUUUAGAAAAGAAGACAUUUUCAAUGUUUAUUCUGCUGUUUGAGGGAGGCAGGAAGGGGGGCCGACUGACGGGAGGCGAGGAUCCCGGACCCUGGGCCCUUCUUUAAGUUCACGUGUAGGACUACAGUAUUUUCUGAAUGGCGUCCCAUACAUUUGUACAUUGUUUCGCUGCCUUUCAUUUAUUUCCACAUUCUUUCUUUUUUUCUUUUUCUUUUUUUUUUAAAUACCAUUUACCUCUUUUAUACCACUUUUUCCCCAUCCUGCUCCUGCUGCUCCAGCGGAGGCUGAAGGUGGGGGGAGCCACAGAGCUGAUGUACUGAGUCAUUGCCACAGGAUGAGGUUGACCUAGUAACAAUUCCAUGCGUUCCAAGUGUUUGUGUGUGUGUUUGGGAGAAGGCAUACGUUUCUAAAAGUAGAUGACAUAUAUUGAAGAGAGAGCAAAGGUUGAAGGGAAGAAGAAGA